rnacentral:rRNA from 1 species
AAUAGAGUGUUCAAAGCAGGCUUACGCCGUGAAUACUUUAGCAUGGAAUAACACGAUAGGACUCUGGCCUAUCUUGUUGGUCUGUAGGACUGGAGUAAUGAUUUAGAGGGACAGUCGGGGGCAUUCGUAUUUCAUUGUCAGAGGUGAAAUUCUUGGAUUUAUGAAAGACGAACUACUGCGAAAGCAUUUGCCCAAGGAUGUUUUCAUUAAUCAAGAACGAAAGUUGGGGGCUCGAAGGACGAUUAGAUACCCGUUGGUAGUCUCCAACCCAUAAACGAUGCCCGACUAGGGGAUUGGCCGAAUGUUUUUUUUAAUGACCUUCGCUCAGCAACCUUUUAGAGAAAUCAAAGUUUUUGGGUUCCGGGGGGAGUAUGGUCGCAAGGCUGAAACUUAAAGGAAUUGACGGAAGGGCACCACCAGGCGUUAACAAAGCUGAAAGCUCGAGCGCCAGUGAGGGGGAAACCUCUUGCUAGUCAACACAAUUCGAUUGUGUUGGCAACACCUUCAAAUUGCUGGAAAAUUCUAAAGCCAUUGCAUACCAAGGUGUGAAGGAAACUUCAUGCUGGCCAGGGUAAUGACCUCGGGUAUGGUGACAACUGCAAUGGAUGACGAGAUUUUCAGUCUCUGAAAUGGACAACCAGCAGCCAAGUCCUAAACCUGAUGUAAUAUCAUGCAUGGAUGCAGUUCACAGACUAAAUGGAGGUGGGCUGUCGAAUAAAUACCGACGGCUUAAGAUAUAGUCGGCCCUUAUCGAAAGAUAACCAGUAAGAGGAAACCAUGUUUAUAGUGGUGGAGAGCUUACUGGGCAUCAGGUAGUACUGGCAGUGUGAGCUGUCAAGGGCUCCACC